rnacentral:rRNA from 1 species
AGUGAACGCUGGCGGUAGGCCUAACACAUGCAAGUCGAACGGCAGCACAGUAAGAGCUUGCUCUUACGGGUGGCGAGUGGCGGACGGGUGAGGAAUACAUCGGAAUCUACCUUUUCGUGGGGGAUAACGUAGGGAAACUUACGCUAAUACCGCAUACGACCUACGGGUGAAAGCAGGAGAUCUUCGGACCUUGCGCGAUUGAAUGAGCCGAUGUCGGAUUAGCUAGUUGGCGGGGUAAAGGCCCACCAAGGCGACGAUCCGUAGCUGGUCUGAGAGGAUGAUCAGCCACACUGGAACUGAGACACGGUCCAGACUCCUACGGGAGGCAGCAGUGGGGAAUAUUGGACAAUGGGCGCAAGCCUGAUCCAGCCAUACCGCGUGGGUGAAGAAGGCCUUCGGGUUGUAAAGCCCUUUUGUUGGGAAAGAAAAGCAGCAGGUUAAUACCCCGCUGUUCUGACGGUACCCAAAGAAUAAGCACCGGCUAACUUCGUG